rnacentral:rRNA from 9 species
AUAACUUUUAACAAUGGAUCUCUAGGCUCUCACAUUGAUGAAGAACACAGUGAAAUGUGAUAAGUAAUGUGAAUUGCAGAAUUCAGUGAAUCAUCAAAUCUUUGAACGCAUCUUGCACUUUUUGGAAUUCCAAAAGGUACACCUGUUUGAGUGUCAU